rnacentral:rRNA from 1 species
AUUGAACGCUGGCGGCAGGCUUAACACAUGCAAGUCGAGCGGGGGAAGGUAGCUUGCUACCGGACCUAGCGGCGGACGGGUGAGUAAUGCUUAGGAAUCUGCCUAUUAGUGGGGGACAACAUCUCGAAAGGGACGCUAAUACCGCAUACGUCCUACGGGAGAAAGCAGGGGAACUUCGGACCUCGCGCUAAUAGAUGAGCCUAAGUCGGAUUAGCUAGUUGGUGGGGUAAAGGCCUACCAAGGCGACGAUCUGUAGCGGGUCUGAGAGGAUGAUCCGCCACACUGGGACUGAGACACGGCCCAGACUCCUACGGGAGGCAGCAGUGGGGAAUAUUGGACAAUGGGGGGAACCCUGAUCCAGCCAUGCCGCGUGUGUGAAGAAGGCCUUAUGGUUGUAAAGCACUUUAAGCGAGGAGGAGGCUACUUUAGUUAAUACCUAGAGAUAGUGGACGUUACUCGCAGGAUAAGCACCGGCUAACUCUGUGCCAGCAGCCGCAGUAA